rnacentral:rRNA from 1 species
GACGAACGCUUGCGGCGUGCCUAAGAAAUGCAAGUCGAACGGGGGCUUCGGCCCUAGUGGCGAACGGUCGCGUAACACGUGGGCAACCUGCCCUGAAGCGGGGGACAACAGACCGAAAGGUCUGCUAAUACCGCAUGUGGUCUUUUUCGGCAUCGAGGAAGACUAAAGACUUCGGUCACUUCAGGAUGGGCCCGCGGCCUAUCAGCUUGUUGGUGGGGUAACGGCCUACCAAGGCUACGACGGGUAGCUGGUCUGAGAGGACGGCCAGCCGGAUUGGGACUGAGAUACGGCCCAGACUCCUACGGGGGGCAGCAAUUAGGAAUCUUGCGCAAUGGGGGCAACCCUGACGCAGCGACGCCGCGUGAAGGAUGAAAUCCUUCGGGAUGUAAACUUCUUUUAUUGGGGAAGAAGAAUGUGACGGUACCCAAUGAAUAAGCCCCGGCUAACUACGUGCCAGCAGCCGCA